UACGUAGGGUGCAAGCGUUGUCCGGAAUUAUUGGGCGUAAAGAGCUCGUAGGCGGUCUGUCGCGUCUGCUGUGAAAAUCCAGGGCUCAACCCUGGACCUGCAGUGGGUACGGGCAGACUAGAGUGCGGUAGGGGAGAUCGGAAUUCCUGGUGUAGCGGUGAAAUGCGCGGAUAUCAGGAGGAACACCCGUGGCGAAAGCGGCUCUCUGGAACGGUACUGACGCUGAGACGCGAAAGCGUGGGGAGCAAACAGG
rnacentral:rRNA from 1 species